rnacentral:rRNA from 1 species
UACAGAGGGUGCAAGCGUUGUUCGGAAUUAUUGGGCGUAAAGCGCGUGUAGGCGGCUUUGCAAGUCGGGUGUGAAAGCCCUCAGCUCAACUGAGGAAGUGCGCCCGAAACUGCAGAGCUUGAGUACCGGAGAGGGUGGCGGAAUUCCCCAAGUAGAGGUGAAAUUCGUAGAUAUGGGGAGGAACACCGGUGGCGAAGGCGGCCGACCUGGGACGGUCCACCUGACGCUGAGACGCGAAAGCGU